rnacentral:rRNA from 1 species
AGUUUGACCUCAAAUCAGGUAGGNCUACCCGCUGAACUUAA